rnacentral:rRNA from 1 species
GAUGAACGCUGGCGGCGUGCUUAACACAUGCAAGUCGAACGAGAAGUGAAGACGGAACCCUUCGGGCGGAAGGCUUUAUUUCGAGUGGCGGACGGGUGAGUAACGCGUGGGUAACCUGCCUCAUACAGGGGGAUAACAGUUGGAAACGACUGUUAAUACCGCAUAAGACCACAGCACCGCAUGGUGCGGGGGUAAAAACUCCGGUGGUAUGAGAUGGUCCCGCGUUCGAUUAGCCAGUUGGCGGGGUAACGGCCCACCAAAGCGACGAUCGAUAGCCGAUCUGAGAGGAUGACCGGCCACAUUGGGACUGAGACACGGCCCAAACUCCUACGGGAGGCAGCAGUGGGGAAUAUUGCACAAUGGGGGAAACCCUGAUGCAGCGACGCCGCGUGAGUGAAGAAGUAUUUCGGUAUGUAAAGCUCUAUCAGCAGGGAAGAAAAUGACGGUACCUGAGUAAGAAGCCCCGGCUAACUACGUG